rnacentral:lncRNA from 1 species
GCAAUAGUAGCUGAUCUGGUUGCUGUUUAAAUUAUUGUAGAAGAACUGACAAAUAGAGAUCUUAAGCCAGAGGAUGAUAGAAUCAAUGGAUGGGAUCUGAUUAUCCUUGAGGCGUGGUGUUGUGUGUAUAAUUCUAUUUUUUUUUUCUUCUUUUUGAUAGUUCUUUGAUGUGUGUGUAAUCUUUUUGCGAUAAGGUUGAAAAAUGUGCUUAAUCUGCAAGAGACCCCCCCAAAAAAAAAAAAAAGAAAUGUCUUACCAGUAAUGGCUUCCCACUCUUAUACACGAUAUAUAUAUUAUCAUGAAGAUUCAAAUUUUUAUUUCUACUUCAUCCCUCUCGUCACUUCUUGUUAAUUACCUUAAGUUGUUACAGACUGGAAUCUAUGGUCCACUCCAGCUAUCGCACCU